rnacentral:hammerhead_ribozyme from 1 species
AUCCGGCUAACGAGUCCCAAAUAGGACGAAACGCGCGUCCUGCAU